UUGCUUAUAAUCAGAAAUUUCACUUAUGAAAUAGUUUGAUGCACUAGGGGAAAAUUGCCAUGGAGGGCAAUUUUAGGAGACGUAGGGCAGGAUGCCCGUUGUCUCCGCCCCGGCCGGUAUCAUCAUCCUAUCCUAUUUCAUUAGUGAAAUCUGAUUAUAAGCUU
rfam:Lachnospiraceae bacterium 28-4 genomic scaffold acPFn-supercont1.3, whole genome shotgun sequence.